rnacentral:rRNA from 1 species
UGAAUCCUACGGGACGCAGCAGUGAGGAAUAUUGGUCAAUGGGCGGGAGCCUGAACCAGCCAAGCCGCGUGAAGGAAGAAGGCGCCAAGCGUCGUAAACUUCUUUUGUCGGGGAACAAAGGGCGCCACGUGUGGCGUUGUGAGUGUACCCGAAGAAAAAGCAUCGGCUAACUCCGUGCCAGCAGCCGCGGUAAUACGGAGGAUGCGAGCGUUAUCCGGAUUUAUUGGGUUUAAAGGGUGCGUAGGCGGUCCGUUAAGUCAGCGGUAAAAUUGCGGGGCUCAACCCCGUCGAGCCGUUGAAACUGG